GCCGAGGUACCAAAGUGGUCAAAUGGGGCUGACUGUAAAUCAGCUGGCUUAUGCCUUCGGGGGUUCGAAUCCCUCCCUCGGCA
rnacentral:tRNA from 1 species